GAUGGCAGAUGAUCGCUGGUGAAUCGCAAGGUUCGCUGGAGGAAAGUCCGAACACCAUACGGCAGCAUGCCACGUAAAAUACGUGGGCGCCGCAGUUGAAAAAUUGCGGUGACGGAAAGUGUCACAGAAAAGACACCGCCGGUUCUUUGAAAGAAGCGCAGGCAAGGGUGAAAAGGCGAGGUAAGAGCUCACCGCUCGCGGAGUAAUGCGCGAGGCACGAAAAACCCCAUGCGGUGCAAGACAAAACAGAGGGAGGACAGCCGGUCCGUUUGAUCCUCGGGUAUCGUCGCAUCACGGCGAAUGAAAAUUCGCUGGGCGUCCCGCCACUUGUGAGUGGCGGAAUGAGAUAAAUGAUCAUCCGCGUGAGUAAUCACGCCGACAGAAUUCGGCUUACCGCCAUCUAAA
rnacentral:RNase_P_RNA from 1 species